AUGAACGUUGGCGGCGUGGAUUAGGCAUGCAAGUCGAGCGGGUAUAGCAAUAUAUCAGCGGCGAAAGGGAGAGUAACGCGUAGCUACGUGCCCCGGAGACCGGAAUAGCCAGCCGAAAGGCUGGGUAAUGCCGGAUGAUGUCCCCGGACUAAAGGGUGUGAUUCCGCUUUGGGAGCGGGCUGCGUUGUACUAGCUAGUUGGUAGGGUAAUGGCCUACCAAGGCGAUGAUGCAUACCGGGCGUGAGAGCGUGGCCCGGCUCACUGGGACUGAGACACUGCCCAGACACCUACGGGUGGCUGCAGUCGAGAAUCUUCGGCAAUGAGCGCAAGCUUGACCGAGCGACGCCGCGUGCGGGAUGAAGGCCUUCGGGUUGUAAACCGCUUUCGGUAGGGAGGAAAUUGCGAGGGGUUCUCCCCUCGUAUUGACCUAUCUUCGGAAGAAGGACGGGCUAAGUUCGU
rnacentral:rRNA from 1 species